rnacentral:rRNA from 1 species
AUGCGGAUCUCGAAAGCCUGUCCCAGUUCGGACUGGAGUCUGCAACCCGACUCCACGAAGUUGGAUUCGCUAGUAAUCGCGCAUCAGCCAUGGCGCGGUGAAUACGUUCCCGGGCCUUGUACACACCGCCCGUCAAGCCAUGGGAGCCGGGGGCGCCUGAAGUCCGGGACCGCGAGGACCGGCCUAGGGCGAAACUGGUAACUGGGGCUAAGUCGUAACAAGGUAUC